UACAGAGGUGGCAAGCGUUGUUCGGAAUUACUGGGCGUAAAGGGCGCGUAGGCGGCCUUCUUAGUCGGACGUGAAAUCCCCAGGCUCAACUUGGGAACUGCGUCCGAUACUGGAUGGCUUGAGUGCGGGAGAGGGAUGUGGAAUUCCAGGUGUAGCGGUGAAAUGCGUAGAUAUCUGGAGGAACACCGGUGGCGAAGGCGGUUCUCUGGGACGGUACUGACGCUGAGACGCGAAAGCGUGGGGAGCGAACAGG
rnacentral:rRNA from 1 species